ACCUUAUCUACCUAGACGCUCAGCCACUCCCUCCCUACCGACCGCCGCCCCUUCCUACGCACGCGAGGCAGGCGCCGGACCCCGGCCCCUCACUACUCGCGCGCUGCCGACGCCGGACCCCCGCCCCUCCCUACCCGCACGCUACCGCCACCUUCCUCUGCGACGCCGCCACGUCCUCGUCGUCCUCCAUCGCCCAUCCAGCCUCCUCCUUCCGCGUCGCCGUCAACCUCUCCAGCUUGCCACCACAACCUCCCCCUCCCCCUGGCGCACCGCGGGGACCUCCCCUUCAUCCAGCGCGCGGCUGUGUCAACUUGCUCGAGCUCCACCGCCCGCCUCCCGACCACCAUCAGUCAGCUACCACCGAACUGACGCCCCCUUCUCCCAGGAAUCACCGCCGUCGGGACUUGCUUCCUGCGCCCCGCCACCGCCCAGGGACCCAACGCGCCGCCGCUCCUCUGAUUCUUCUCCCCGUCUCUGCUUGCAAUUCUUCCGCCGACACCAAUGGUGCAGAACCUUCUGAGCGCACGACAGCCUCGUCCGUCCAAGUUGAGCACUGGGCGCCGUACGAGUAGAGCACCGCGCCUCGUCCAAGUUCCCAUCUAAUGUUGAAUAAUAUACCGCUGAGUGCUAUUGACGGAAUUGAGGCUUCGCCGAGGAACAAGACUGGUAACUAGCGCAAAGGAGAAUAUGUAGAGAGGUGGCACUGCUAGACUUGCUGAUGUGUAGUUAUGGCAUAAAAAGAUGAAAACAAUGGUAUCUUGUAUGAUUCCAUAAGGUGCACGUAGAAAAUCUUCCCAUGUGGAUCUGUACAAAUUGUAAUGGAUCAGCCCAUAACAUGCAAAUCUUCCCAUGUCGA